rnacentral:rRNA from 1 species
UGGGGGAUAUUGCACAAUGGGCGAAAGCCUGAUGCAGCGACGCCGCGUGGGGGAUGAAGGCUUUCGGGUUGUAAACCUCUUUCGCUAUCGAACAAGGCCCGCUUAGGGUGGGUUGAGGGUAGGUGGAGAAGAAGCGCCGGCUAACUACGUGCCAGCAGCCGCGGUAAUACGUAGGGCGCGAGCGUUGUCCGGAAUUAUUGGGCGUCAAGGGCUUGUAGGCGGCUUGUCGCGCCUGCUGUGAAAACGCGGGGCUUAACUUCGCGCGUGCAGUGGGUACGGGCAGGCUUGAGUGUGGUAGGGGUGACUGGAAUUCCAGGUGUAGCGGUGGAAUGCGCAGAUAUCUGGAGGAACACCGAUGGUGAAGGCAGGUCACUGGGCCAUUACUGACGCUGAGGAGCGAAAGCAUGGGUAGCGAACAGG